NNNNNNNNNNNNNNNNNNNNNNNNNNNNNNNNNNNNUUCUCCCCCGGACCCAGACUCCUCCUUCUCCAUCUGUCUUCUCAUUUGGCUUCUGCUUGUUUUGCUCCCGAAUUUUUUCCCCUUUUUCUUUUUCCCUUUUUUUCCCUUUUUCUUUUUUCCAUUUUCCUUUUCCCUUUCAUUUUCCUUCCUUUUCUUUUUCUUUACCUUUUCACUUUUUCGUUUUUCCUUUUCUCUUUUUCGUUUCCUUUCAUUUCCUUUCAUUUUCCCCUUCCCCGUUUCCCGUUUUUUUUCUAUUUCUUUUUUCUUUCUUUUUCUAUUUGUCUUUUUCCUUUUUUAUUUUUUUCUCUUUUUUUUACUUUUUUAUUUUUCUCCCUUUUUUUACUUUUGUUUGUCUUGUUUUGCUUUGUCUUCCUUUUUUCUUUUCCUUUUUUUUUUGUUCAUUUCUCUUUUUCCUCUCUUUUCCCUUUUCCUUUAUUUUCUUUUCCCUUUUGCUUUUCCCCUUCUUUCUCCUUUUCUGUCGCUCUGCCCCCGCCCCCCCGCGGCGCGACACGCGAGCCGCACGCGUCCCAUCCGAGCUGCGCCCCCCCGGCCGCCCCCAGGGCUCUGCCCCCCUCGCCGGGGGCGCAGCCGGGGCCGGGCCCUGGCCCGGGGGGGCCGGGGGUGGGAAGAAGAGCCCUGGAAACGCCUUGCGGCUGUCCGGAGCGCCGGAGCCGCUCCCGAGGAAAUCUCCUGGGUUUGCAGCAUUAUCUUAAUUAAGAUAAUUGAUUCAUAUUGCACCUGCGAGAGUGCGGGGAAAGGAUGCGUCCCCAAAUAGCUCAAAGCUAUUGGAGAGGGGAAGCCGCGCUGUGAUUUAGCGAGUGAUUUACUGCCUGGGCGGCGCGGGCGGGCCGCGCUCUGCGCUCUCCGUCCCCAGCCAGGCACAGCCCGAAGGAUCCUAAAAACAACCCCCAACCAACCCAAAAGUGCCGCUGCCGCUGGCCCCCGGCCCCGCUCCGCACCGCGGAGCCGCGCUGGGA
rnacentral:lncRNA from 1 species